GCAGAAAAAAAAAAAGAAAGAAAGAAAGAAAGAAAAGAGUCAGAGAAUGAUUAUGACAAAUAUUAGAGCACCAUUUACCUCACUCUCUGCAGCCUACCUAGUCUUUGCAUCUCACAAUGUAGAAAAACACCUCAGGUCCCUGCGCUUUUUAACACAUGCACAUCCAGCAAAAGCAGAGGAGAACCUGGCUCUCUCUCAAAGACUCUUCUACGGGCGAAGGGACCGGCGGCCUGCGAAAAUUCAGCUGCGGCGCCAUCUGCUGGGCGUGCUGCGAAGCUGCAAGGCCCUACCCGAGCUUGUGGUUGAAGGUCCCACUUUUUGCCCUGGAAAAGAUCUAGCACCAAGGUAGUGUUCACAUGCAAUCCACUUAUCUAAAAAGCAACUAAACUGACCCCCUAAAGAAAAUGGUCUCGGGCCAGUCCAGUAGCCUAGUGGUUAAAGGAGCCAGAACCCAUACUGUCAUCGUGGUUCAAAUUUCCGCAAGCGUCUGUGUGUAUGUGGAAAAUCCAGACUGGAUGGAGAAAUGAAGGGGAAUGGAUUGCAUCAAGGCCAUGUCCCCUUGGGAGUGCUUUCUUGGCCAUCCUUAUCU